rnacentral:ncRNA from 2 species
GAUAACCAAAAGGGGAGCUAAGUAUGACUUGGCUGAGAGGGUGCUUGUGAAGCGCCGACCCGAUCGCCUGAUCUGGAUAAUGCCAGCGGAGGUACAUGGAAUUGAUCGUGA